AUGUGUCAAAACUGCCUGCGUUAUCCUGGCGACCGUGUAGCGCCAGUAUCGGUUGGAGCUCACUAGGGCCCCACCAUUUGCCUGCAGGGUCACAGAUCUUGCUCUUACAAGCUUGCAGCAAUUCGUUAAACGAGAAGAGAAAGAUCUUACAAUUUUCUUUCGAAAAUGCAACAAAGUUACAGCUGAGAUAAAAAAAGCCUUUUCUGUUCAUUAUCCAAGGAUACAAUGUAACGUAUAAUACGCAGUUAUACAACGAUACUUUGCAUCUUUUAAUCAACCCGUUAUUAUUUGCAUCUAGAAUUUUAAUAUUUAUAUCAGACAUACUAUGCGUACAUAACAGUCAGCCUUAUUAAAUGCUUUAUUAAUUAUACUCAAGUAGUGCAAUGUGAAUAUUGAAUAGUGAAUUUAAUAAUGUGUUAUAUCUCAACGUUGAAUGUAACAUAUAAUUAUCGCAAAAAGCAAAUUAAAUAUAUGCAAUUAAGUGACUGGUAGUGGUAAUCAAUUAUAAAUAGACUUCUCAUACUCCAUAAGGAACGCUGAAAUUGCAUUUAACUUCUGCAAAACAAAAUAUAUAAAAACCCAUGCUUUUGUCUCUAUCUCAUGUUACCAUUAUAUUUAUAACUUAUAAAAGAAAAAAAAA